rnacentral:rRNA from 1 species
GCAGAAGGGUGGUGUCUGUAGAGAAAGCAGAACGUGCCGUUAGGGGUUAGUAGAGGAACGGCGUGGAGCUAAGAAGGAAAGAUGAGGAGGUAGGUUUGCGUAGCGCGUAGGGUGACCGAGCCGUCGAGGUGGCCACGGUCUCCUCUUCACGAGAGGACGCGGCGCGCGACGUAGAUCAUUGGGUAGCCUCGGCCUCUGCUGCCGCUGCUCGUGGCCCAUCCUUCUGCCGUUUGUGUUCCCGGUCUACGUGGGGAGAGGUACCGGCAAGCGUCCGUCUCCACACGAGCAGCGGAACAGGCGGCCGUUGACCUACGGAGGUACCGGCGGCGUAGGUACCAAUCAAUCAGGGGUACCGGUUCGACCUUAGCUGGUGCCACCGCUGCUCAAACACGACCUUGGUCCAUUAAAAAAACGACCUAGGUGGUUAAACAAAACGAUGUUGGGAAAGAAAAAAACGAUGGUAGGGGCAAACUAAAGCUACUUGUGAAAAACGACCUUGGAGAAAACUAAAAACGACCUUGGUGAAGAAAAAAACUACCUUGGUAGAAAGAGCCAAACGUCGUUAAACUCUCCUACUAACGGGGUAGUGACGGUACUAAAAAACUAUGUAGUUUAAAAACGACCUUGGAGAAACUAAAAACGUCCUUGAUCGUAAACUUAAACGACGUAUCCGAUACAAAUACGACCCUGCCGCUGCCUGCCGCCGAUGUACACAGAAACGACGUAAACAGAAAAACAACCUUAAUCGUUAAUAAAAACGAUGUUGUUCGGAGACUUCUCGACCUUGGCCGUUCUAACGAAAACAAACGUCAGUAGCCGUCGUCGCGUAAAAAACGACCUUGCGGUAAAAAACAACAACCUUAUCCAAAACCAAAAGCGACCUUGGCCAGAAUAAAAGACGAUGUUGCCCGAUUAACAAAACGAGGUUGUCUAAUGACCUCAAAAAGACAAAACGAAAAGAACGACUAAAAUGAAACGAUGUUAGCCGUACCCUUUUCGAAGUUGGCACUUUUUUUUUCGAAGUUGGUCUCUCCCACUCUUUUUCGAACCUGAUCGCUCUUUUAUUGAGAAGUUGGUCCGCGUGCGCUCGUGCACUACGGCCGGCCGACGUCGGUCGCCCCGUACCACUACGACGUAACUCGCACGAUGCUGCCUCGGCCGAUCAACGACGUUGCUGUCUCCGUAGACUGCACGAUGCUCUGCCGGGACAGGGAUACACCACCGCCGAUCCACGUUGCUGCUGGAGACGAUCUAGGCCGCUCUUGGCCACGUCGCUACCGCCGCUCGGCCGCCCCGAAGCUUCAGUCGCCGUCCCCGCCGGUACCGCCCGACGCACGCACACCGCCCCACACGACCUCUAAAAAAAACAUAACAAAAGGCGUACUACAUAGUCUCCUCCCUUUUUUCUCCUGGUCUAGACUGCCGUGACCCUUGAAAUUAGCAUGCCCAUACGCAACUGGCCGAGUUAAAACACGGCCACGGCCGCGGAUAAUGAGCUGAAAGAAAAUCCAUCAUCUCUUCUCUUUUUGCCACUGUGAAAAUAACUAAUUAUACCAUUAAGAAUCGAUUAGAUGUGGCAAUAUUAAGCCUGAGUACCCUAAUUGCCGAGAUUAAAUGAUUAAUUGCACCAUUAAAAAUCCUUCAAUUAAUCAUAUCCAUAUCUAUCUACAUUAUGUCAAGAGUCACAAGAACAUGUCUUUCUUCAGCG